CGCCUACCGGCUGCAGAGGAGAAGGGAGGAAAGGGUGGAAUCUCAACACAAGUGGUAGGCAACUUUGAAAACAAUAAAUAGAUGAAGAAUGGAGAGACCUCAAAAGGAGAGUCUGGGAACCCUAGCCAAAGGCUAUAAUGUGGUAAAAUCGUGGGGACUUAAUUCCAUCAUAUGGAGGUUACUGAAUGUAUCAGAGACAGCCUGCAGUUCAUCACCACACAAAUUAGG
rnacentral:lncRNA from 1 species